rnacentral:misc_RNA from 1 species
UCUAGGUAUAUGCCCAGGAGUGGUAUAUC